rnacentral:rRNA from 1 species
AACGAACGCUGGCAGCGUGGAUUAGGCAUGCAAGUCGAACGCGAGCCCUGAGUGUAGCAAUACAAACGGGGUAAGAGUGGCGAAAGGGUGCGUAACGCGUGGGCAAUCUGCCUCUAAGUUGGGGAUAACUCGUCGAAAGGCGAGCUAAUACCGAAUGUGAUGGUGCCGCGCCUGCGGUACUGAUUGAAGGCGGGGAACCGCAAGGUCCUGUCGCUUGGAGAGGAGCCCGCGUCCUAUCAGCUUGUUGGUGAGGUAACGGCCCACCAAGGCUUACGGGUAGCUGGUCUGAGAGGAUGGUCAGCCACACUGGGACUGAGACACUGCCCAGACUCCUACGGGUGGCUG